UACGGAGGGUGCAAGCGUUGUCCGGAUUUAUUGGGUUUAAAGGGUACGUAGGCGGCUUUUUAAGUCAGUGGUGAAAUCCUGCAGCUUAACUGUAGAACUGCCAUUGAUACUGGAGAGCUUGAGUAUUGUUAAGGUAGGCGGAAUUGAUGGUGUAGCGGUGAAAUGCAUAGAUACCAUCAGGAACACCGAUUGCGAAGGCAGCUUACUGGGCAAUAACUGACGCUAAGGUACGAAAGCGUGGGGAGCGAACAGG
rnacentral:rRNA from 1 species